UACAGAGGGUGCAAGCGUUGUUCGGAAUUAUUGGGCGUAAAGGGCGCGUAGGCGGUUCGGCAAGUCUCUAGUGAAAUCUCAGGGCUCAACUCUGAGUCUGCUGGGGAAACUGCCGGGCUUGAGUGUGGGAGAGGAGAGUGGAAUUCCCGGUGUAGCGGUGAAAUGCGUUGAUAUCCUAAGGAACACCAGUGGCGAAAGCGACUCACUGGGUCUCUUCUGACGCUGAGGCACGAAAGCUAGGGUAGCGAACGGG
rnacentral:rRNA from 1 species